GUCUAAAUAGUUUAAUUAAAAUAUUGAUUUGUGGUGUCAGUGAUGUGAUUUGUGUUGCUUUGGACU
rnacentral:tRNA from 1 species